GCCCAAAUAGCUCAGUUGGUAGAGCACGUCCUUGGUAAGGACGAGGUCACCGGUUCAAGCCCGGUUUUGGGCUCCA
rnacentral:tRNA from 1 species